AACGAACGCUGGCGGCAGGCUUAACACAUGCAAGUCGAACGCCCCGCAAGGGGAGUGGCAGACGGGUGAGUAACGCGUGGGAAUCUACCCAGUUCUACGGAAUAACCCAGGGAAACUUGGACUAAUACCGUAUACGCCCUACGGGGGAAAGAUUUAUCGGAAUUGGAUGAGCCCGCGUUGGAUUAGCUAGUUGGUGGGGUAAUGGCCUACCAAGGCGACGAUCCAUAGCUGGUCUGAGAGGAUGAUCAGCCACACUGGGACUGAGACACGGCCCAGACUCCUACGGGAGGCAGCAGUGGGGAAUAUUGGACAAUGGGCGCAAGCCUGAUCCAGCCAUGCCGCGUGAGUGAUGAAGGCCUUAGGGUUGUAAAGCUCUUUCAGUGGGGACGAUAAUGACGGUACCCACAGAAGAAGCCCCGGCUAACUUCGUGCCAGCAGCCGCCGUAAGAC
rnacentral:rRNA from 1 species